rnacentral:rRNA from 1 species
GACGAACGCUGGCGGCGUGCUUAACACAUGCAAGUCGAACGGAAAGGCCCUGCUUUUGUGGGGUGCUCGAGUGGCGAACGGGUGAGUAACACGUGAGUAACCUGCCCUUGACUUUGGGAUAACUUCAGGAAACCGGGUAUCAUACCGGAUAGGAGCUCCUGCUGCAUGGUGGGGGUUGGAUAGUUUCGGCGGUUGGGGAUGGACUCGCGGCUUAUCAGCUUGUUGGUGGGGUAGUGGCAUACCAAGGCUUUGACGGGUAGCCGGCCUGAGAGGGGGACCGGCCACAUUGGGACUGAGAUACGCCCCAGACUCCAACGGGGGGCAGCAGUGGGGAAUAUGGCACAAUGGGCGGAAGCCUGAUGCAGCAACGCCGGGUGCGGGAUGACGGCCUUCGGGUUGUAAACCGCUUUCGCCUGUGACGAAGCGUGAGUGACGGUAAUGGGAGAAGAAGCACCGGCUAACUACGUG